rfam:Picea glauca, whole genome shotgun sequence.
UCAUGUACAUGCCUACACCAUUGAUGCACCAGAUCCAAUCAAAACUUCAUAGUUAGGAACACUUGGGAUAGAGUAGUACUAGGAAGGUUGGCCUCCUUGAAAUUCCUAAUAUUUUACAUGCC